UGGGGGGGGACAGAGAACCCAGGGAUUCUGGGAACCUUAAAACAAGAUCACAACUGUAGCUCUGGAAGAACGCUCUUAUAACCACCAGACUUUUUCGUGUCCUCAUCAGCGUACAAGUGGUACCGAAAAGCCCCUUCUUUAAAUUUAUUUUUAAUUGCGGAAAAUUUUCAAGGAACAGAAAAGUAAAAACAAUAGUAUAAUGAAACCUCGUGUACUCAUUGCCCAGCUUCAACAACUGUCAGUGUUUUGCGGAUCUUGUCUCUUCUAUUUUUUUCUUCCGGGGUUGGAAAAAAACUUAAAAUAUCAAAACAUGACAGCAUUUUACUCCCGAAUAUUUCAGUAAGCGCCCUGAAAAUGUUAGUCACUCAAUCAAUUAUUGCAAAACAGACUUGGAGGUCAACAUAAAGAAGGCGCGUAGAACACUUUUCUCUUGCGGAAUCAGUUGGCAAAAAGGCGGUCCAGCUGCUCCUUGUGACUCCAGCACAGCACUUCGCGCCCCAAGCCCAGGUACAAGUAGAGCGAAGGGUAAGACACCAAGGCAAGUAACGCAGUGACAGCCCAUCCCCCCACCGAGCAAGCGCAGUGCAGACCCCAGCGUUGCUAAGGCCCCGAGGAAGAUGGAGCAGCGAGAGACAAUCAGAGGCCUUCGAAGCAAAUCGUCUAGCCAAUCCAGAUUCUCAGAUCCACCCCAGGAUAAAGCUGACUCUCAGCUUCCAUCCCCCUCGCCCCGGGUGAGAGAAGGCGACCCAGGAGGGCUGCGGUCGCAGCGGUCGGACUCCGCAGCCCGGCGGUGGGACUCUUUUUUCAUAGUUCACGGAAACGACGGAUCCCUCCGCCGGCAGUCACGUGCCCCACCCCCCGGGGGCGUAGCGAACUCAAAACAAAAA
rnacentral:lncRNA from 1 species